AGCGAACGCUGGCGGCAGGCCUAACACAUGCAAGUCGAACGAACUCUUCGGAGUUAGUGGCGGACGGGUGAGUAACACGUGGGAACGUGCCUUUUGGUUCGGAAUAACUCAGGGAAACUUGUGCUAAUACCGAAUGUGCCCUUCGGGGGAAAGAUUUAUCGCCAUUAGAGCGGCCCGCGUCUGAUUAGCUAGUUGGUGAGGUAACGGCUCACCAAGGCGACGAUCAGUAGCUGGUCUGAGAGGAUGACCAGCCACACUAGGACUGAGACACGGCCCAGACUCGUACGGGAGGCAGCAGUGGGGAAUCUUGCGCAAUGGGCGAAAGCCUGACGCAGCCAUGCCGCGUGAAUGAUGAAGGUCUUAGGAUUGUAAAAUUCUUUCACCGGGGACGAUAAUGACGGUACCCGGAGAAGAAGCCCCGGCUAACUUCGUG
rnacentral:rRNA from 1 species